GCGCAGCAGGCGCGAAUACUCCACAAUGCGCGAAAGCGUGAUGGGGCCAUCCCGAGUGCCGUCCGCUGAGGACGGCUUUCCCGGUGUACACAGCCGGGGAAUAAGGAGAGGGCAAGCCUGGUGUCAGCCGCCGCGGUAAUACCAGCUCUCCGAGUGGUGGGGACGAUUAUUGGGCCUAAAGCGUCCGUAGCCGGCUCGGCAUGUCUCCCGUUAAAUCCAACGAUCCAAUCGUUGGACUGCGGGAGAUACUGUCGGGCUAGGGGGCGGGAGAGGUCGGCGGUACUCCCGGGGUAGGGGUGGAAAAUCCUAUAAUCCCGGGAGGACCACCAGUGGCGAAGGCUGCCGGCUAGAACGCGCCCGACGGUGAGGGACGAAAGCUGGGGGAGCGAACCGGAUUAGAUACCCCUGUAGU
rnacentral:rRNA from 1 species